CCUACUUGAUGAUGGGCCACUGGCCUACAUCUCACGGGAAGAGGAGCUGAUUCUAAGGGCCGGAACAUUAAUCUCCCCUGACAAGUGCAAGUUAAUCUGGUACCUAUUCAUGGUUGAAGUUGAUCCUAUUGUCAAACCGGCCCUUGAUGCUCAGGAAGCAUAUAAGUGGAACAAACGAAUGUCUGGGAUUCAGAUUGCAUUGUUAGCUCUUAGAGUGGCUACCAGCACGCUGAUAUUCGUGACGACUGGAGUACCUGUAUUUUUUUGAUGGCACGGCAGAAUUGUUCGGCUCUAACGAACUCUUCAAUUUGUUUAGCCCCUAGGUUAUCAAUCUGUGCAACUGUCCAUUCGGAACAGUAAAACAAACUUUUUUUUCUCUCCGGAACUUAUUUAUGUAAUAAUGCCACGGGUAUCCCUAUACCUAAAGUGCAG